UUAGAUCUAACGGAAUAUGCCAAUAAGAUAAAAAAGCUCACUGAGCGUUUAGUGAGCGGUUGUGCUUCUGGAUGUACCCAUUCAGAAAAAUAACCGCUCAUUGAGCGCUCAGUAAGCUCUUUCAUCUGAUUGGUAUAUUUCGUUAGAUUCUAAACUAUAAACCAAUCAUAUGAAAGAACACACUGAGCAAACGGUGAGUAGUUGUUGUUCUAAACGUCCUAAUUUUAAAAUUUUAGCGAAAUGUUGCCAUGCAAAUAAAAACAAAUAAACUGUUAUUUAUUUUUUGAACUUUCGCGACGGAUAUACAUACAGGAAACAAACUAUUAUCUUUUGGAUUUCUGGUGUUUGUUAAAUUGUAUUAAAGGAGGCCAUUUCCCAAGAAAAUCAACAACACGUAACAAUAAUAGAUAAAACUAUAAAAAUGGAUUCUGAAUUAGAUGAUAUUUAUCAUGAGUUGUGUGUCAAUCCAAUAUUAUAUAUCUCAUCGAGAGAAUUUUUUGAUGUAAUGUUACCUAAUGAUGGUACAGUAGUUCGCACUUGGGUGUAGAUGAGCGCGCAUACAUACCACUGGGAGCUACACACUUCUCCACCCUCCUACACUCGAAGGACUCGAUUAAUGUACAUGAAAUUUAAUGUAUUUUGUACGAAAUUUAGAGAAAUU